AAAGGAGAUAACUGAAGCAGAAAUGCUGCCAUGUGGGCAACUUCAAGGCUGAGACCCAUCUUUUACAACUGUAGUGACCUUGAUGUGAGAUAAGGAAAAGACGGCUGUAGAGCAGCUGCUAGAAACAUAGAUUAAGCAUGGAAAAACCCAAAGAAGUAAAACAGAAACUGAAAACCAUAUAUAUGGUGCCAAAUGAUGCUAAGUUGGGUGAGAAAUCUUCUGUCUUCCUUCCGGAGCACAGGCACGCCUGCUUCUCACCUUGCUCCAGCUCACCACCAUCAUCAGCUACAACAUCUCAGCUACUCAGUAAAUACGGGGUCGGCCACCCCACAUUAGCAUUGAGCAACUAUUGCUGCGUCUGAGUAGUAACCCUUUGUUUGUUCGCUUCAAAGAGGGUAGAGCCAGUAGAAAGAGGGCAGGCCUAACAUCUGCAGAUGAGCCUAGUCUCUUGUGUUGCAGUCCAUCACCAUUGAAAAAGGGACAAAUAUCCAGCUGGACAGAAGGCAUAUGUACUAUGAGGGCCCUAUCAUCACUGCCUACUUUGUCAUCAUAAUUCUUCCAGCUCUGUAGGUCUGGCAAAACACUCUGCAUGGAUGAAAUCUAUGAACACUGUCAGUGGUAGAUUGAAACCUUUUUUCUGUAUAGAGGUCCUUUCUACUUUAAGUAUUUCUGGAAGGCACUCCUUUAAAGCCAUGAUCCAACCAGCAGAGACUCCCUAUGCCUGAAGAAGGGUGACUGCGCCCAAAAGCUUGCAAAGAACUUUGUUCCGACUACUCGGUUGGUCUAAUAAAAGAUAUCACAGCUACUCAAAGAAUCUUCCCUGCCUAUGAUCCAACCAAGCACUUAAGAUUGCUCUUAUCUUUUGAUCCAUCAAUAGUUCCAUUCUAGUCAAUGGGACUUCUCAUAUAGUCUGUUUGAUGACUGGAUCAGAUUUUCAAAGGUUUUUAGAUGUCCAUCUCCCAGUGAAUUCAAUAGGAAUUAGGGGCCUAAUAACUUUAAAAGU